rnacentral:rRNA from 1 species
GCUGGCGGCGUGCCUAAUACAUGCAAGUUGGGCGCUGAAGGUUGGUACUUGUACCGACUGGAUGAGCAGCGAACGGGUGAGUAACGCGUGGGGAAUCUGCCUUUGAGCGGGGGACAACAUUUGGAAACGAAUGCUAAUACCGCAUAAAAACUUUAAACACAAGUUUUAAGUUUGAAAGAUGCAAUUGCAUCACUCAAAGAUGAUCCCGCGUUGUAUUAGCUAGUUGGUGAGGUAAAGGCUCACCAAGGCGAUGAUACAUAGCCGACCUGAGAGGGUGAUCGGCCACACUGGGACUGAGACACGGCCCAAACUCCUACGGGAGGCAGCAGUAGGGAAUCUUCGGCAAUGGACGAAAGUCUGACCGAGCAACGCCGCGUGAGUGAAGAAGGUUUUCGGAUCGUAAAACUCUGUUGGUAGAGAAGAACGUUGGUGAGAGUGGAAAGCUCAUCAAGUGACGGUAACUACCCAGAAAGGGACGGCUAACUACGUGCCAGCAGCCGCGGUAAUACGUAGGUCCCGAGCGUUGUCCGGAUUUAUUGGGCGUAAAGCGAGCGCAGGUGGUUUAUUAAGUCUGGUGUAAAAGGCAGUGGCUCAACCUUUGUAUGCAUUGGAAACUGGUAGACUUGAGUGCAGGAGAGGAGAGUGGAAUUCCAUGUGUAGCGGUGAAAUGCGUAGAUAUAUGGAGGAACACCGGUGGCGAAAGCGGCUCUCUGGCCUGUAACUGACACUGAGGCUCGAAAGCGUGGGGAGCAAACAGGAUUAGAUACCCUGGNAGUCCACGCCGUAAACGAUGAGUGCUAGAUGUAGGGAGCUAUAAGUUCUCUGUAUCGCANCUAACGCAAUAAGCACUCCGCCUGGGGAGUACGACCGCAAGGUUG